rnacentral:rRNA from 1 species
AUUGAACGCUGGCGGCAGGCCUAACACAUGCAAGUCGAACGAGUGGCGGACGGGGGUGUAAUAUGUGUGAAACUGCUCGAUGGAGGGGGAUAACUACUGGAAACGGUAGCUAAUACCGCAGACCAUCUGAUGUGCCCAGAUGGGAUUAGGUAGUGGGUGGGGUAACGGCUCACCUAGGCGACGUUCCCUAGCUGGUCUGAGAGGAUGACCAGCCACACUGGAACUGAGACACGGUCCAGACUCCUACGGGAGGCAGCAGUGGGGAAUAUUGCACAAUGGGCGCAAGCCUGAUGCAGCCAUGCCGCGUGUAUGAAGAAGGCCUUCGGGUUGUAAAGUACUUUCAGCGGGGAGGCGUUACCCGCAGAAGAAGCACCGGCUAACUCCGUGCCAGCAGCCGCGGUAAUUC